rnacentral:rRNA from 1 species
GACGAACGCUGGCGGCGUGCUUAACACAUGCAAGUCGGACGGAAAGGCCCUGCUCUUGUGGGGUGCUCGAGUGGCGAACGGGUGAGUAACACGUGAGUAACCUGCCCUUGACUUUGGGAUAACUUCAGGAAACUGGGGCUAAUACCGGAUAGGAGCUCCUGCUGCAUGGUGGGGGUUGGAAAGUUUCGGCGGUUGGGGAUGGACUCGCGGCUUAUCAGCUUGUUGGUGGGGUAGUGGCUUACCAAGGCUUUGACGGGUAGCCGGCCUGAGAGGGUGACCGGCCACAUUGGGACUGAGAGACGGCCCAGACUCCUACGGGAGGCAGCAGGGGGGAAUAUUGCACAAUGGGCGGAAGCCUGAUGCAGCAACGCCGCGUGCGGGAUGACGGCCUUCGGGUUGUAAACCGCUUUCGCCUGUGACGAAGCGUGAGUGACGGUAAUGGGUAAAGAAGCACCGGCUAACUACGUG